AGCAUAUCAAUAAGCGGAGGAAAAGAAACCAACAGGGAUUGCCCCAGUAACGGCGAAGUGAAGCGGCAACAGCUCAAAUUUGAAAUCUGGCCCCAGGCCCGAGUUGUAAUUUGCAGAGGAUGCUUUUGGCGCGGUGCCUUCCGAGUUCCCUGGAACGGGACGCCAUAGAGGGUGAGAGCCCCGUACGGUUGGACACCAAGCCUUUGUAAAGCUCCUUCGACGAGUCGAGUAGUUUGGGAAUGCUGCUCUAAAUGGGAGGUACAUUUCUUCUAAAGCUAAAUAUUGGCCAGAGACCGAUAGCGCACAAGUAGAGUGAUCGAAAGAUGAAAAGCACUUUGAAAAGAGGGUUAAACAGCACGUGAAAUUGUUAAAAGGGAAGCGCUUGUGACCAGACUUGCGUCCGGUGAAUCACCCAGCUCUCGCGGCUGGGGCACUUCGCCGGCACAGGCCAGCAUCAGCUUGCCGUCGGGGACAAAAGCUUCAGGAACGUGGCUCCUCUCGGGGAGUGUUAUAGCCUGUUGCACAAUACCCUUCGGCGGGCUGAGGUACGCGCUCCGCAAGGAUGCUGGCGUAAUGGUCAUCAGCGACCCGUCUUGAAACACGGACCAAGGAGUCAACCUUAUGUGCGAGUGUUUGGGUGUUAAACCCCUACGCGUAAUGAAAGUGAACGCAGGUGAGAGCUUCGGCGCAUCAUCGACCGAUCCUGAUGUUCUCGGAUGGAUUUGAGUAAGAGCAUAUAGGGUUGGACCCGAAAGAAGGUGAACUAUGCGUGUGUAGGGUGAAGCCAGAGGAAACUCUGGUGGAGGCUCGCAGCGGUUCUGACGUGCAAAUCGAUCGUCAAACAUGCGCAUGGGGGGCGAAAGACUAAUCGAACCUUCUAGUAGCUGGUUUCCGCCGA
rnacentral:rRNA from 1 species